rnacentral:rRNA from 1 species
AAUGGGCGCAAGCCUGAUCCAGCCAUGCCGCGUGAGUGAUGAAGGCCCUAGGGUCGUAAAGCUCUUUCGCCCGUGAAGAUAAUGACGGUAGCAGGUAAAGAAACCCCGGCUAACUCCGUGCCAGCAGCCGCGGUAAUACGGAGGGGGUUAGCGUUGUUCGGAAUUACUGGGCGUAAAGCGCGCGUAGGCGGAUUAGUCAGUCAGAGGUGAAAUCCCAGGGCUCAACCCUGGAACUGCCUUUGAUACUGCUAGUCUUGAGUUCGAGAGAGGUAAGUGGAAUUCCGAGUGUAGAGGUGAAAUUCGUAGAUAUUCGGAGGAACACCAGUGGCGAAGGCGGCUUACUGGCUCGAUACUGACGCUGAGGUGCGAAAGUGUGGGGAGCAAACAGGAUU